rnacentral:rRNA from 1 species
CUUAAAUCUCUGUUGCUUGCAACAGCGAAUUGUAGUCUCGAGAAGCGUUUUCCCGGCGGAUCGGCCUCACCUAAGUUGCUUGGAACAGCACAUCAGAGAGGGUGACAAUCCCGUACGAGGUGAGGUCGGCCGUCCACGAUGCGCUUUCUAUGAGUCGGGUUGCUUGGGAAUGCAGCCCAAAAUGGGUGGUAAACUCCAUCUAAAGCUAAAUAUUGCCACGAGACCGAUAGCGAACAAGUACCGUGAGGGAAAGAUGAAAAGAACUUUGAAAAGAGAGUUAAAAAGUACGUGAAACCGUUAGAAAGGAAACAGAUGGAGUUAGCAAUGCUUUGACGAGAUUCAGAUGUGCUUUCUCUCGUACGUGCAGUGUGCGGAUCUGAAUGGACCGUCGUUGUUCGGCUCGAGAUUUUGGACGUCGCAUUUCCCGUCAGAGCGCGUCAACAUCUGUUAGAUCUGAGUGACAAGCCCUCGAGAAAGGUAGGUAUGGUUCGCUGUACUGUUAUAGUCUUGAGUGUGCCAACUCGGAACUGACAGAGGAUUGCGGUACAUGCUCUUCUGGGCUGGUGUUCUGCUCUUGGUCAGCUGUCGACCAUGGUGGACUGCUUGCAGUCAGUGCACUUGAACUGCUGUUGGCCAUCGAGUGGGUCUACACACACUAUGUACCAAAGUUGUUGGCGGCAAUAUGGCUUCAUUUGACCCGUCUUGAAACACGGACCAAGGAGUCUAACAUGUGUGCAAGUCUUAGGGUGACUGAAACCCGGAGGCACAAUGAAAGUAAAGGCUGCCUAGCAGCUGAGGUGAGAUCUGUUGGAUUCGUUCUGACAGCGCAUCAUCGACCGACCUAUUCUACUCCUAGAAAGGUUUGAGUAUGAGCACAUUUGUUGGGACCCGAAAGAUGGUGAACUAUGCCUGAGUAGGGUGAAGCCAGAGGAAACUCUGGUGGAAGCUCGUAGCGAUUCUGACGUGCAAAUCGAUCGUCAAACUUGGGUAUAGGGGCGAAAGACUAAUCGAACCAUCUAGUAGCUGGUUCCCUCCGAAGUUUCCCUUAGGAUAGCAGGAACUCAUUUGACUCAGUUUUAUCAGGUAAAGCGAAUGAUUAGAGGUCUUAGGGUUGAAACAACCUUAACCUAUUCUCAAACUUUAAAUUGGUAAGAAGCCUGACUUGCUUAAUUGAAGCCAGGCACAGAAUGAGAGUUCCUAGUGGGCCAUUUUUGGUAAGCAGAACUGGCGAUGCGGGAUGAACCGAACGUCGAGUUAAGGCGCCAAAAUCAACGCUCAUCAGACCCCACAAAAGGUGUUGGUUGAUCUAGACAGCAGGA